rnacentral:rRNA from 1 species
GACGAACGCUGGCGGCGUGCUUAACACAUGCAAGUCGAGCGGAAAGGCCCUUUCGGGGGUACUCGAGCGGCGAACGGGUGAGUAACACGUGAGUAAUCUGCCCUGUACUCUGGGAUAGCCUUGGGAAACUGAGAUUAAUACCGGAUAUGACAUGUGCCUGCAUGGGUGUGUGUGGAAAGUUUUUUCGGUACAGGAUGUGCUCGCGGCCUAUCAGCUUGUUGGUGAGGUAAUGGCUCACCAAGGCUUCGACGGGUAGCCGGCCUGAGAGGGUGACCGGCCACACUGGGACUGAGACACGGCCCAGACUCCUACGGGAGGCAGCAGUGGGGAAUAUUGGACAAUGGGCGGAAGCCUGAUCCAGCAACGCCGCGUGAGGGAUGACGGCCUUCGGGUUGUAAACCUCUUUCAGCACAGACGAAGCGCAAGUGACGGUAUGUGCAGAAGAAGGACCGGCCAACUACGUGCCAGCCGCCGCCGUAAAAC